rnacentral:lncRNA from 1 species
GGGGUGUUCAUGGGUGUGGGUCGAUCCACGAAUUUGACGAUCAAAGUUGAACACGAUCGAAUAUGAUAUAACCCGCAUAAGUUUGGUUCGAACAUUAGGUAUGGGUUUUUGAACUUAUGAAUACUUUGACCAUUUGAACAUGUUUUCCGUGAAGCUGAUUAAGCGGCACAUUUUUGCCAACGACGAUUUUCUUUUGAUGUCCUCGUCAAAUUUUGACCGUUUCUUU